AGUGAACGCUGGCGGUAGACCUAACACAUGCAAGUCGAACGGCAGCACAGUAAGAGCUUGCUCUUACGGGUGGCGAGUGGCGGACGGGUGAGGAAUACAUCGGAAUCUACUUUUUCGUGGGGGAUAACGUAGGGAAACUUACGCUAAUACCGCAUACGACCUACGGGUGAAAGCAGGGGAUCUUCGGACCUUGCGCGAUUGAAUGAGCCGAUGUCGGAUUAGCUAGUUGGCGGGGUAAAGGCCCACCAAGGCGACGAUCCGUAGCUGGUCUGAGAGGAUGAUCAGCCACACUGGAACUGAGACACGGUCCAGACUCCUACGGGAGGCAGCAGUGGGGAAUAUUGGACAAUGGGCGCAAGCCUGAUCCAGCCAUACCGCGUGGGUGAAGAAGGCCUUCGGGUUGUAAAGCCCUUUUGUUGGGAAAAAAAAGCAGCAGGUUAAUACCCCGCUGUUCUGACGGUACCCAAAGAAUAAGCACCGGCUAACUUCGUG
rnacentral:rRNA from 1 species